rnacentral:rRNA from 1 species
GACGAACGCUGGCGGCGUGCCUAAUACAUGCAAGUAGAACGCACAGUUUAUACCGUAGCUUGCUACACCAUAGACUGUGAGUUGCGAACGGGUGAGUAACGCGUAGGUAACCUGCCUGGUAGCGGGGGAUAACUAUUGGAAACGAUAGCUAAUACCGCAUAAUAUUAAUUAUUGCAUGAUAAUUAAUUGAAAGGUGCAAUUGCACCACUACCAGAUGGACCUGCGUUGUAUUAGCUAGUAGGUGAGGUAACGGCUCACCUAGGCGACGAUACAUAGCCGACCUGAGAGGGUGAUAGGCCACACUGGAACUGAGACACGGCCAAGACUACUACGAGAGGCAGCAGUAGGGAAUCGUCGGCAAUGGACGAAAGUCUGACCGAACAACGCCGAGUGAGAGAAGAAGGUUGUCGGAUCGUAAAGCUCUGUUGUAAGAGAAGAACGGGUGUGAGAGUGGAAAGUUCACACUGUGACGGUAUCUGACCAGAAAGGGACGGCUAACUACGUG